AUUGAACGCUGGCGGCAGGCUUAACACAUGCAAGUCGAACGGUAACAGGGAGCUUGCUCCGCUGACGAGUGGCGAACGGGUGAGUAAUGCGUCGGAACGUGCCGAGUAGUGGGGGAUAACGCAUCGAAAGGUGUGCUAAUACCGCAUACGUACUGAGGUAGAAAGUGGGGGACCUUCGGGCCUCACGCUAUUCGAGCGGCCGACGUCUGAUUAGCUAGUUGGUGAGGUAAAGGCUCACCAAGGCGACGAUCAGUAGCGGGUCUGAGAGGAUGAUCCGCCACACUGGGACUGAGACACGGCCCAGACUCCUACGGGAGGCAGCAGUGGGGAAUUUUGGACAAUGGGCGCAAGCCUGAUCCAGCCAUGCCGCGUGUCUGAAGAAGGCCUUCGGGUUGUAAAGGACUUUUGUCCGGGAGCAAAUGCCUGGUGUUAAUAGCAUCGGGAGCUGAGAGUACCGGAAGAAUAAGCACCGGCUAACUACGUGCCAGCCGCCGCGGUAACAC
rnacentral:rRNA from 1 species